ACGUAGCGGUGGAGCAUGUGGUUUAUUCGAUGCACGCGAGAACCUUACCUACUCUUGACAUCCAGCGAACUUGCCAGAGAUGCCCUGGUGCCUUCGGGAACGCUGAGACAGGUGCUGCAUGGCUGUCGUCAGCUCGUGUUGUGAAAUGUUGGGUUAAGUCCCGCAACGAGCGCAACCCUUAUCCUUUGUUGCCAGCGAUUCGGUCGGGAACUCAAAGGAGACUGCCGGUGAUAAACCGGAGGAAGGUGGGGAUGACGUCAAGUCAUCAUGGCCCUUACGAGUAGGGCUACACACGUGCUACAAUGGCGCAUACAAAGAGAAGCGACCUCGCGAGAGCAAGCGGACCUCAUAAAGUGCGUCGUAGUCCGGAUCGGAGUCUGCAACUCGACUCCGUGAAGUCGGAAUCGCUAGUAAUCGUGGAUCAGAAUGCCACGGUGAAUACGUUCCCGGGCUGGGGAUCCCGA
rnacentral:rRNA from 1 species